CCACUGCAGCUGUAAUGGGGAGAGAAAACAUAAUAAAGGGUCCAUGGUUUGAGAUAUGGACAGAGAGAGAUCACUCUCCAGAUAUUGCCACAGGCAAAACUGAUUCAAAUUAGAGAUACUAAUUUAAUU